UUUCUCUCUCUACUUUCUCUCUCCUCAUGAGCGGCUACUCAGCAGGCUUUCAGAUCCAUAUACAGUGAUGGGUUGUGAAGGGAAGGAGAUGGGAAAGAAGGACACAGACGAAGGGUGGUCACGAAAGAGACCUUUUUCUCUCUCCUCUGCUCCUCUCUCCACCCUUGUGGUGCUUCUCUGUGUUUCCCUCGUCCGCUAACUCUCACAGAUCUCGUCAUCUCUCUUCCAUCUCCGCCUUUGAUCAGCAGCAAGCAAUACAAAACCCACCAUGAAGAGACUCAGAAGCUCCGAUUCCCUCACACCCAUCAGUCCGACCGCCCCACAUGGAGAGGAGAAGAUGUAUGGAAUGGCGUUCUCCUCCAUCCUUGAAUCAAUGGAGGAUGAUGACUGUGGAGACGAGCUAUGCUCCUCGAACACGUCGAAGAAGCGACGACUGAGCGUCGAGCAGGUUCGAUCACUCGAAAAGAGCUUCGAGAUAGAGAACAAGCUAGACCCGGAGCGCAAGGUGCGACUCGCUCAAGAGCUCGGCCUCCAGCCCCGCCAAGUUGCAGUCUGGUUUCAGAAUCGCCGAGCUCGAUGGAAAACAAAGCAACUAGAGCGCGACUACAAUGCGCUGAAGGCCAGCUACGAAGCUCUCCGAGUUGACUACGACUCGCUCCGGGAUGACAACCAGUCUCUCGCAGCUGAGAUUGAAGAGCUGAAGUCGAAACUAGCUGAUGAGGAGGAGCCUUCGGGUUCGCCGGAGUCUG
rnacentral:misc_RNA from 1 species